CCCUUAGAUGUUCUGGGCCGCACGCGUGCUACACUGACCGGCGCAACAAGCUUUUUUCCUUGGCUCGACAGGCCUGGGUAAUCUUCGAACGCCGGUCGUGAUGGGGAUAGAUCCUUGCAAUUUUUGAUCUUCAACGAGGAAUUCCUAGUAAAUGCGAGUCAUCAUCUCGCGUUGAUUACGUCCCUGCCCUUUGUACACACCGCCCGUCGCACCUACCGAUUGAAUGGUCCGGUGAAAUCUCGGGACGGCGGCUUGGUCGCUUGCGUCCGACUGCUGAAACUUGAUUAAACCAUAUCAUUUAGAGGAAGGUGAANUCGUANCA
rnacentral:rRNA from 1 species